GGGGGGAGUCCGGAUCCUGGGCUGUGUCCCGGCGCCCUGUGCUCCGGAGCCUGCGCUGUUGGAUUCGCGCUCCCGCCCCGCAGCCCCCU
rnacentral:pre_miRNA from 1 species